GACGAACGCUGGCGGCGUGCUUAACACAUGCAAGUCGAACGGAAAGGCCCUGCUUUUGUGGGGUGCUCGAGUGGCGAACGGGUGAGUAACACGUGAGUAACCUGCCCUUGACUUUGGGAUAACUUCAGGAAACUGGGGCUAAUACCGGAUAGGAGCUCCUGCUGCAUGGUGGGGGUUGGAAAGUUUCGGCGGUUGGGGAUGGACUCGCGGCUUAUCAGCUUGUUGGUGGGGUAAUGGCUUACCAAGGCUUUGACGGGUAGCCGGCCUGAGAGGGUGACCGGCCACAUUGGGACUGAGAUACGGCCCAGACUCCUACGGGAGGCAGCAGUGGGGAAUAUUGCACAAUGGGUGGAAGCCUGAUGCAGCAACGCCGCGUGCGGGAUGACGGCCUUCGGGUUGUAAACCGCUUUCGCCUGUGACGAAGCGUGAGUGACGGUAAUGGGUAAAGAAGCACCGGCUAACUACGUG
rnacentral:rRNA from 1 species